rnacentral:misc_RNA from 1 species
GAUGAAGAACGUAGCGAAAUGCGAUAAGGAGUGUGAAUUGCAGAAUUCAGUGAAUCAUCGAAUCUUUGAACGCACAUUGCGCCCCUUGGUAUUCCAUGGGGCAUGCCUGUUCGAGCGUCAUUUGUACCUUCAAGCUCUGCUUGGUGUUGGGUGUUUGUCUCGCCUCUGCGUGUAGACUCGCCUUAAAACAAUUGGCAGCCGGCGUAUUGAUUUCGGAGCGCAGUACAUCUCGCGCUUUGCACUCAUAACGACGACGUCCAAAAGUACAUUUUUACACUCUUGACCUCGGAUCAGGUAGGGAUACCCGCUGAACUUAAGCAUAUCAAUAAGCGGAGGA